rnacentral:rRNA from 1 species
UACGUAGGUGGCAAGCGUUGUCCGGAAUUAUUGGGCGUAAAGAGCUCGUAGGCGGUGUGUCGCGUCGGCCGUGAAAACCUGCAGCUUAACUGUGGGCUUGCGGUCGAUACGGGCAUCACUGGAGUUCGGCAGGGGAGACUGGAAUUCCUGGUGUAGCGGUGAAAUGCGCAGAUAUCAGGAGGAACACCGGUGGCGAAGGCAGCUCGCUGGGACGGUACUGACGCUAAGGCGCGAAAGCGUGGGGAGCGAACAGG